CGCCGCUCGGGACCCAGCGGCCGCGCGCCUGGGGGGAUGCGGUCCUUCCAACGUCAGUCCCUCUCUGGAGCUCAGGCUGCUGGCUCUGCAGACUGCUCAGUUCUUCGUGUCGCACCUUAAUUGGUUCCCGGAUGGAUGAUGAAUAGAUGGAUGGUUUUGGGUUUUUUUGUUUUUCUUUCUCUUGUUUUGUUCUGAUGACCUUAAACUUUUUGAUCCUCCUUCCCUUCUUCCUGACUUUUGGAUUUGCAACGCCACACUGUUAUGCAGUAGUGAUUGAAGCCCUCUUGGUGGGGUUAUGCAAGCUCUGUAUCAGUUGAUCCACAUCUUUUGUUUCCUCAAUUUUAUCUCAACGUUUUUAAAAGAGUGCCAGGGCAUUGUUUUUGUUUGUUUGUUUGCUUUUUUAAGACAGGGUUUCUCUGUGUAGCCCUGACUGUCCUGGAACUCACUUUGUAGACCAGGCUGGCCUCGAACUCAGAAAUCCGUCUGCCUCUGCAUCCCAAGUGCUGGGAUUAAAGGCAUGUGCCACCACACCCAGCUGCCAAAAGCUUUCUUGACCUCAUCCCUAGCAAUCAUAGACUUGUGGAAUGUGAUUUUUAAAAAGGAGCUUAAAUACUCCCCUACUCCUUUCAGCCUGAGGUUCAUCCACGUCUGAAUCCGAAACUUGCAUUUGCUUAUUGCUUUGUGGCUUUCCACUGUACUGAUGUACAGCUGUUUAUAAUUCUACUUUUCAAAUGGACAUUUGUACAGUUUCCAGUUCAGGACUAUUGCAAAUAAGGAUGCUGCAAGCAUUUCGAGGACAGAGGUUCUCCCUCCUCUUCAGUAGCUAUAAGCAGAAUGGAUGAGAUGCCUGGGGUAUCUGUGAAAGAAGAUGCUAUGUGUUACAAUGUGGCUGUGUGAUUUUAAGAUCCCAUCAGCAAUAUGCAAGAGUUCUUGUUGCUCCACCAUUGUUAAGCAUGGUUUAUCUUUAAUCUGAACCUUUUGGGUGGCUGAUCAACAGUAUCUCAGUUGUUUAAGCACUAUGUAGCUGUCUCAUACAUUACUAAAUGUAUUUUGUCAGUUGAAUUGUCUUGUUGUUGAGGUUUGGUCUUUUGCUGUGUUUUGUAAUAUUAAGUGCGGUCCCCAAGACCUGGUUGCCCCAGAGAUGAGAGAACCUGCUGCAUGUAGAUGCAGGAUCAUGGAUUUCUAUGAGGCGCUUCCCCUGAGCUCCAUCUCCAUCCUCUGUCAUGUUUGCAUGGAAGACAUGCUGAAUUUUUCCAGACCUGCUGCAAUGCAUCAAUGUUAGUGCUAAAAAGCAAGAGUACAAGCCACCAAUGAAAUGAGAUGAAGUUUUUUGUGGCCCAAAUAGGCACCAAAUUCUUUAAGGUAUCUCUCCUCCUGAUACACCUUGAGUCUGAUCCUGAGUGGUUAGCCAGGUCCCUGACAAACCCCCACUGCAUUUGUAACCAGCAGAGAUGGAUAAGAAUGGACACUAAGGGCAGCCUUCCUCACUAGAUCAGAAAAACGUUUCUAGAAAUGCUGUGUGCCAACACCCCAAACUUCGUAAAUAUCUUUUUAAGAAUGGGGUAAUUUUUUGUUUGUUUUUGUCUUUUUUCUAUUUCCUUCCUGUUUCCUUCCAGCUCCUGCACGUUCCCAGGAUCCAGCCUUGGUCCAAGGCCCUUUCUGAGCACAGGAGCAUUAGCCUCCAGCCUCACACUGGGACGUCAGUCUUCAGUGCCUACCCCAGAGUAAGAUCUCAUCUUCCAGCCAUUCUGCUCUGGUCUUAGGUGGCCAGUUUACAAGUCCAAGUAAACACUGUUAGAGGUGUGUUGCAUCCUGAGAAGAACUGUACCUGGAUUGACCUCUGGCUUCUUGCAUUUGCUUGGCAGAGGCAUGGGAAGCCAAUUUGGAUCAAACAUAUGAUGUACAUUUAUGAAUCAGCCUUGAGUAGGCUGAAUCAGAGUCUUCCAACCUAGGUGAAGUCUAUUGUCCUGCCAUAUCUGCAGCUUCCUGCAAGAAGCCACUACCUGCUGAGCUGCUGAGCUUGUCUUCCUGACGAGAUCCUGUUAAUCUGUUUCCACUCUUCCAAUUUCUGAAAGAUACUGACAUAGAAGCUGACAUAUCAGAAGACCAGGCAUGACAAAGUUUCUUCUUGUAUGUUUCUUAUCUUCAGUAUUCCUGAAAUAAAAUAAGAAGUCUGUAACAUGUACAA
rnacentral:lncRNA from 1 species